rnacentral:rRNA from 1 species
CUGGCGACCGGCGCACGGGUGAGUAACACGUAUCCAACCUGCCUCAUACUCGGGGAUAGCCUUUCGAAAGAAAGAUUAAUAUCCGAUAGCAUAUAUUUCCCGCAUGGGUUUUAUAUUAAAGAAAUUCGGUAUGAGAUGGGGAUGCGUUCCAUUAGUUUGUUGGGGGGUAACGGCCCACCAAGACUACGAUGGAUAGGGGUUCUGAGAGGAAGGUCCCCCACAUUGGAACUGAGACACGGUCCAA